rnacentral:rRNA from 1 species
UUCAAACGAGAGUUUGAUCCUGGCUCAGAAUCAACGCUGGCGGCGUGCCUAACACAUGCAAGUCGAACGAGAAAGUGGAGCAAUCCACGAGUACAGUGGCGACCGGGUGAGUAACACGUGAUCAACCUACCCUUGAGUGGGGGAUAACUCCGGGAAACCGGAGCUAAUACCGCAUAAAAUCUUCGGCUCACAUGAGCUGAUGAUCAAAGGAGCAAUUCGCUUGAGGAGGGGGUCGCGGCUGAUUAGCUAGUUGGUAGGGUAAUG